rnacentral:rRNA from 1 species
UGGACGUUGAUUGACGUGAGUGGCGGACGGGUGAGUAACACGUGGGUAACCUACCCUUAAGUGGGGGAUAACAUUUGGAAACAGAUGCUAAUACCGCAUAACCAUUCAGACCACAUGGUCUGAAUGUAAAAGACGGCCUUUGGCUGUCACUUUUGGACGGACCCGCGGCGUAUUAGUUAGUUGGUAAGGUAACGGCUUACCAAGACAAUGAUACGUAGCCGACCUGAGAGGGUAAUCGGCCACAUUGGGACUGAGACACGGCCCAAACUCCUACGGGAGGCAGCAGUAGGGAAUCUUCCACAAUGGACGGAAGUCUGAUGGAGCAACGCCGCGUGAGUGAAGAAGGUUUUAGGAUCGUAAAACUCUGUUGUUGGAGAAGAACAGGGACUAGAGUAACUGUUAGUCCUUUGACGGUAUCCAACCAGAAAGCCACGGCUAACUACGUGCCAGCAGCCGCGGUAAUACGUAGGUGGCAAGCGUUGUCCGGAUUUAUUGGGCGUAAAGCGAGCGCAGGCGGUUUUUUAAGU